rnacentral:rRNA from 1 species
GACGAACGCUGGCGGCGUGCUUAACACAUGCAAGUCGAACGCGCCUGUCCUCUGGGUUUCUGGGGGGUGGGUGAGUGGCGAACGGGUGAGUAACACGUGAGUAACCUGCCCCCUUCUUCGGGAUAACGGUCUGAAAGGGCUGCUAAUACCGGGUAUUCACUGGUCUCCGCAUGGGGUCUGGUGGAAAGGUUUUUUUCUGGUGGGGGAUGGGCUCGCGGCCUAUCAGCUUGUUGGUGGGGUGAUGGCCCACCAAGGCUUUGACGGGUAGCCGGCCUGAGAGGGUGACCGGUCACAUUGGGACUGAGAUACGGCCCAGACUCCUACGGGAGGCAGCAGUGGGGAAUAUUGCACAAUGGGCGCAAGACUGAUGCAGCGACGCCGCGUGAGGGAUGGAGGCCUUCGGGUUGUGAACCUCUUUCGCCCGUGGUCAAGCCGCGACGUGGGUCGUGGUGAGGGUAGUGGGUAAAGAAGCGCCGGCUAACUACGUG